AAAAUCAAGGUAAUGGAAAUCUUCAAAGGAGUUUUUUAUUUGUGGAGAGAAAAUCAUUUGAUCUAGAACUUAUGGGAAGAAAAAUGAAAGGGUUUAAGUUGAGCCAAAAUGACAGAGGUUGCACGUCUUCAGUAAUUAUUUGCGCAAAGUAAAUAAAGUGGUUUAUUAAAAGUCUAAGGUAGUUAUAUUAGGAGAAGGGGAAAAAUUAUUGGGUGAGAAUUAUAAAAGACCCAAACAUGUGUUAUGGGUGACAACGAGUGAGAAUGAAAGUGGAAAAAACCUAGUGUUAACUAAGAAGAUGGGAGAAGAAAGAUGUAGGACUAUCUUUUCACAAGGAUUACAAGCCAAUGGGUGGAGUCUUUUGAAGAAGAUAGGAGAGCUCGUUGGCAUAUAGGUUCAAAUCAAUUCUCAUAAAACCAAAGAGGAUAGUGGUCAAGCUUAUAGGAAAGCAACAAAUAAAUAAGAAGGUAGUUGUAGUGUGUAGUGUGUCUUAUGUCUAUUCACAUCAAACUCGACUUUGACGAGACGAAAUCAUACAUGCAAGAUCUGGGUUGUUAAAGACAUAGUCAUAAAUGUGUAUAGAAGAUGAGACCCAACUCAACUGCGGGUCUACUUGAUGUAAACCAGACACAAGUAGAAGCACUUUUUU
rnacentral:lncRNA from 1 species